GGGUCAGUAGGUUGGUCGUGCCACCGGUACGUACUGGUCUCACUGACUCCUCCUUCCUGAAGAACCGUGAUGCCAUUAAUUUGGUGUUGCGGGGAAACAGGACUGUUACUUUGAAAAAAUUAGAGUGUUUAAAGCAAGCUAACGCUUGAAUACAUUAGCAUGGAAUAAUGAAAUAGGACGAUCGAUCCUAUUUUGUUGGUUUCUAGGAUUGACGUA
rnacentral:rRNA from 1 species